rnacentral:misc_RNA from 1 species
UUUUCUCCUUUUCGUUCAGCUUGCUUACACCCAAACACUCCCGACCCUCCAGCCUUACUCCCCUUUCCCGGUAUGCACACAAGCACCGUGGCCAUGAUGAACAAGGGGGGUGGUGGUGAGCGGCCGACUAUCGCAGCGUUGGACCGCGGCGACGGCGUCGACUUGAAGCGGGAAAGCAGUCUUCUGCCAGGUGAGGUGCGCACACCAACCAUGAUUGUCACGCUCUCGGAAGCCUGGGGCGAUAGCAGCGCCGACUGGGCGGCUCCAGGCAGUAGCUCUGUCUGGGAAGAGGAGGCGGCGAACCGUCCUUCAGCGCAGACCCCCCUGACACGCUACGGCCGCAGUGAUGUGUGGGCCUCUGCGACAGGAUCGCCGCUCAUGGGCGACGGUAUCGUACAUCAGCACAACUUUGGGCAGACCGAGGCAAAGGGCAACACCGAUAGCCCAGACACUGCCGAGUUGGCCGCGGCAGCUCUGCAGGCCCUCUCGCCCCAAGGAGUGCUGCACACGGACUCGCGUGGAGUGCAUGUGCCCCUGCCGCAGCGACAGCCGUUGCAGCCGCGCUACUCGACCACUGUUCACUAUGGCUACGAAAGCCGCUUUGGCACCGUUCACGAAGCGCCAUUAAACAACGAUCUCACGCAGUUUUUCCCACGCCCCCGGCAGCAGCAAUCACCCCAAAAGCCGAACUACUUCACGGUUCAGGAAAGCUCAGUCGCCCCAAGCGCGGCGUUAGCAGAACCCACUGCGAUGUCUCGCGGCGGUACCCGCACGACCAGCCCUGGGAGUGACGCGGUAUUCUCCGGCGGCUCCACUGGGAUGUCGUAUGUGCCGCGGUUAGAGGACGAGGAGGUGGCCCACCGCAUCAUCGUCUCUGCAGGUUUACCGCUGGCGAUGCACUCGCUUGUCGAGUACAUCCACGGAGGCCAGCCGCGCGCGCCAGCGCACGCCACUGCACUAGGAACAACUCAGAAUGCGCUGCGCAAUUACCCGAAUCUGAGUGACCCGCCAGCAGAGGAAGAGGCGUUCGGUAGUCGCGGCGGUACUGGUGGUUCUUACGGUAGCCGUCCACAGCGUGGCGGGUACGGGCAGUCGUUGCAGGGCCGCUGUGGGCCGACGAUUCCGUCCUUGAAGCAGGACAACGGCUUUGCCGUCCGUGGUCAAGACGCCAUCGACGACUCUCCGCAAGACCAGGCGCUGGCGCCGUCGUCCAACUACGGCGGCGGCUUCAUGGUGUCCGCUGGCACUGGCACCACGGCGCCGUCAAGGGUAUCGGCGCGCGCACCUUAUAGUGCACAUGGAAACGGUGUUGCUGGGCGCCACAAGAGCGAGAGUAAGUACCUUAGCGACUUGCUGCAUUUUCACGCGAACUUUUUUCCACCGCCGCCGCCACCGCGUGUGCCCAAGGACGAGCGCCGCAACCGCGCCGAGCUGUGGUACCACUACGCGAGCAAGUGGGACAUCACGCACCGCCUGCCGCCGCCGCCGCGGACGCCACUCCCCGAGAUGGAGCUCGAGUACCGCAUGCGCCUGCAGCAAAUGACGCGUGUGCCGUACCACGGCGACGGGUGGCUGCAGAUGAGCGAGCGGUGGUUCGACGUCAUGCAGGCGCUCUUUGACUUCCCCGAGGACAACGUCGGCGACGAGGUGGACUUCAACGUUGUCCUCCAGCAGGCAGUGCUGAGCUAAGUGAGGAAUGCAUUCGUGUGCACCAAACGGCGUGUGUCUCCCGCGGGCGCGUGCGCGGGACUGCACGCGCGGCUUUGUCGCUUCUGCUUCCUCAACGCAUGGCGUCUGCUGGGCGCCUAUAUUCGACGUGAGGGCGACAUUGGUGCAAAGAAGACGAGGCUUCUCUGCUCGCCUGCCGUCUUCUAACUGCCGCCGCGCACCUCGUCUUCUCUAUCCACGUCUGCUUCUCUCUCUGCCUCUCUGCCUUUCCCACUUCUCGUGCUGUGAGGAGGCGGCCCGAGGCCGCCUGGGAGGUGCUCGGUGGUAGCGUCUCGGCCCCUGACAGCGUGGCACUGCGGUUCCGUUCGCCUUUGCUGGGGGGGGGACGGACGAAUCGAAAGGAAUAAUAAGAAUGAACAUCAGAAAAGAAGCUAAGGCGGGCUGUUCGAAUCUAUAAGCACAAGAAGCUGCAUGCGAUAAAGACCUGCGUGCCCGAGAAUCCUUGCUAGUAUCGAUAGCAGGCAGGGGCGUCUUGUUGUGGUCUAGCCGUCCACGACGCACAUCGGCGCAAAGAGGAUGAGAAGCACGCAUCGUUGGAAGAGGAAGUCGUCGGCGCGUUGUCCUUUCCCUACCCCCUUUUUGCCUUGUGCAGCGCCCUUCUCCCAACCCCUCCCCCCCCCCCACCACCACCACCAACACCACUACCAUCACCACUACACACCGCGACACCCAUGCUUUCCUUUUGCCUCCCGUCUUCUGCCAUGCAG